CAUGGUGACAAUGGUGGAGGUGAUAUACCCGUUCCCAUUCCGAACACGGAAGUCAAGCCCUCUAACGCCGAUGAUACUGCCCCCCCGAGGGGCGGGAAAGUAGGUAGUUGCCAUGC
rnacentral:rRNA from 1 species